rnacentral:rRNA from 1 species
UGGGAUAACUUCGGGAAACCGGAGCUAAUACCGGAUAAUAUAUUGAACCGCAUGGUUCAAUAGUGAAAGACGGUUUUGCUGUCACUUAUAGAUGGAUCCGCGCCGCAUUAGCUAGUUGGUAGGGUAACGGCUUACCAAGGCGACGAUGCGUAGCCGACCUGAGAGGGUGAUCGGCCACACUGGAACUGAGACACGGUCCAGACUCCUACGGGAGGCAGCAGUAGGGA